AAUCAACGCUGGCGGCGCGCUUAACACAUGCAAGCCGAACGAGAAAGCCCGGCAACGGGUGAGUAAAGUGGCGUACGGGUGAGUAACACGUGGAUAAUCUACCUCUUAGUGGGGAAUAACUUUGGGUAACCGAAGCUAUACCGCAUAAGCCUGGAAAGGGAAAGACCGCAUCUUAAUAAAUAGUGGCGCUGAGAGAGGAGUCCGCGGCCGAUUAGCUAGUUGG
rnacentral:rRNA from 1 species